UUCCCAAUUUCUUUCCCAAAUUUUCUCUAUUCCUAUCUCAAUGUUGCCCAUCUAUAUUACAAUAUUGUUGACUUCUGCAGAUCCCAUCUGAACAGGAGCAGUUAAGGGCAUGCCAAAUAAGUGCACAGCAAAUAAACUAAGUGGAAGAGUUGUAAAAGACAAAUCCCGAUGCUUCUUUUGAGGACCUUGAAAAGCCUGGUGUAGAUGAUGAAUCUCAGCUUUGAAAUACGAAGAUGCAUAUCAUAUUAAGCUAACUGCACAAGAGGAGGUUCUACUGCAACUUCGAGCUAGUCAGUUGAUGUUAACCAUGGUUUCAGUGUUGAUUUUGUCUGGAAGAUUGAUAGGAUGCAAGGAGCUAUGAAAGCCUUUGUUGUGGAUGAGACAAGUGUGAAUGGGAAAUUUGGUAUCCAAGGGCGGUUUGCUGGAGGCGGUUGGUGUUAAAGCCGCUGAUUUUAAACGCUGAUCCAAUAGUUCCUAAACAACGCCGCUCUCAUUUUUUCCCUUCUCCGUCACGAGAAACAUCUCUCUCUUCUUUUCUCUUCCAAGCAUCCCAACAACGCUCCUCUAAAAUGCUUCCCUUCUCACUUCAUUCCCUCAAUGCUUCCCUUUACAUUCCAAACUAUCACCAAAAAUUAAUGCCUCAUCCUUCUGUUUGUGCUUUCUCUCUGCCAAUUUUCCUAACCCUAGACCUAAUUAUUUGCUUCACCUUUUAACCUUGGAACUCGAAACGCUCCAAGAUCCUCUCCCAAUCAAUGUUCGACUUGCCGCUCUUAAUUGCAGAAGCUUGUGGUUCUUAUUUUAAGGUUUGAUCGCAGGUUCACUCUUCAUCAUCGGGAUGAACAAAUCUUGCCCCCUCUGCAUUCCAUAUUCUAUAUUUUUUAUUGCCUUGAGAUAAUGGAAACAACAUUACUGUUUCAGAGCCUAUUUUUUUCUCAUUUCCUUCUCGAUUCCGUUUUGAACCUAUUUGAUUUAGGCUUGUUAGGGUUUAUUGGACAUUGCAGAGUUCAUCGUCGCUGGCUGUUAUGGAAUUGAAACGUUAUCGGUCCAUUUGAAUUUCAUCAAUUCCAUUGACAAUUUUUUUCUUUUUCGUUUGGGAUUUAACAUAUUGUCUGUAGUCAAGGGUGCAUGCCUUAGUUGUAUUUGUUAUAUUUUUUAUAUUUUUUAUAUUUGUCAUAUUUGUUGGAUUUAACAAAUAAUAAUUGAUCACAUUACACUUUUUUUAAUACCCUUCAUGUUUAUAAUGCAAAAUAUUUUGUUGCGCUGAGAAAUAAUUAAUUCUCUGUUCCAUCCUAUACUUGCAAUUUGCAUUUCGCAGAUGGUUUUUUCUAGUCUUGUUAGAAAAGAGAGAAAGAAAGAACGGGGUUGAGGUGACCUUAUAUGUAUGAAUUAACAAGAUUCUAGUUUACUAAUUGUACACCUUUAAGGUGUCCUUCCAAGAUAUGCUAAUGUAGUACUGGUUUAUUGGACAUGCUCAUGGAUUAAUUGAAAAAUAUUUAUUCAAUACCUCAAUUCAGUUAUUUUGUAGAAACUUAAUGGUCUUUGGAGAUGAGGUUAAAGGCUACCACCGAAGCCCUGAAGGUCUGAAUGGAAGUUAUAUAUAAUAUAUGUGGGCAGUCAAAUAGCAAUGUCAGUCUCUUAUAAGUUUUGCAAUGUAACCGCUGUAUUCUAGAUUACUUUUGCACUGGCUCACUUUUGACAUCGUUGUCUCUGUUUAUUUAUUGUUUUUCCUCAUCUUACAAGCAUCACACAUUUUAGUAGGUUGUAAAUGGACUUCUUCAAAGAGAGGAUUGGGUUACGGCAAUAAAGAUGCCCCUUGGGGUAGUUCCCGCAGGCUCUUUGUCGAUUCUUCAAUUUGAGGCAAUACAUUGGAUGUGUUUCUUUUGUGCCUGCAUCUGGGUUUGAGGCUUACAGGGAACCCACUAGUUACCCUGGCAAAUCUACUAGCAAAGGCAACAACACUGAUCCAAGUGACGGAGAAAGUGUUAAUUUACAAAAGCUUUGUUAUAAAGGACCUGAAAUAAACUUGGAAAAUCUGAAUUGGAGAGUUAUAAAUGGACCCUUUAUUUCUAUCUGGCUUCACAAUGUACCUUGGGGUGCCGAAGACACUAUGCCAGCACCUGAUGCAAAGAGACAACAGCAGAGCUGGCAGCUUCACUGUCUUUGGCAGCUGCUAGAAGGAUAGUUGAAGCAGAUGAGUUCACGAGGGCAGGAUUAUAUGAUGGAUGGCUACCACAUCUAUUUGUUGGGAACUUGCUCAAGGGACAAACAGUUGGUGUUAUUGGAGCGCCGUAUUGGAUCAGCUUAUGCAACGGAGUUCAAUCAUCGUGAUCAACCUUCUUUACAUUCUACAACUCAUCAAGCAUAAAAAGUUGCUUAGGUUUAAAUUUUUGAAUUUUUAUUGGUACUUUGAUUCCAGUUAGGUUUAAUUUGCAAGAUUACUCAGAUGUAAACAUUUGUGGUAUUAUUGAUACUUUGGUUCCAUUUAUGUUAAAUUUGCAAAGCACAUUUACUUUGUUUUAUCAUGUAUUUGGAUCUAUUAAUUUUUA